AAAGAAAAGAAAAGAAAAGAGAGAGAGAAAGAAACAAACAAAGAGACAAGUACCUUGUGUCAAUCCUUCAAGAUCCUCCAGAAAGGUUAGAACAGACACGCAGUAAUUUGCAAAUAAGGUCUUCUCUGCUCCCUUGGGUUCAACGGAGGAGCUGGGAACCAAGCUGCCAUGGCUUCAAGACCAAGGCCACCGAUGUGCUGGGGAGAGAGUCAGGAAGGGAUGUCACCUGGCAGUCUUUGGCAAGAAGGCACUGACCAAACCAUGAUGCAAAUUUUUGGAAUCAAUAACGGAGGACGAGAAAUUUAAUUACAAAAAUUAUGACUACAGAAUAAAAAACAAAAUUGGAGGAAAAAAUAUCUGAACUCGUCUGCACGCGAUGACCCUCGGAAUGCAUAAUGCUGACAAAAUUACAGGUUGACUUGAAAAGCCACAAUCGCAAUGGGACGUUUUAAUAUAUCCUAUCAGGAAAUGGAGAAGAUAACAUUUGUUAAUAUCCAACAGUUAAAAAAUUUUAAGGACCAUGGACAGAAACAGUGGUUUGAGCUUUAGGAAAUGUUUUAAAUCACAUAAAAACAUAAUUGAAAAUAUACCGAAGACUUAUGUUCAGAUGUGAGUAAUCAGAAACACCCACAAUCUGCCUGAUAAGGAGAAGGUGCUUAUUUUCACACGAAAAGGCUUAUUUUCACAGAAGUCACUGUACAAUGCGGUAGAGGAAUAGGUUACCGUGGGGUUCCUCUUGGCUGCAUGUUGUAGCUGUACUGGUGAAAUCGGGAACACACAGUAAUUAGGAGUGUUAACAGAACGAGGGGUUUA